rnacentral:piRNA from 1 species
UGAGGACAGCUACCCAUUCCAACCUUUGUCC